rnacentral:lncRNA from 1 species
CUGGAACCUUCUAGCCUUUCUGCCCUCAUCUAUCAAUGUCUCAGGGGAGUAUCGGCCGAGCUCUAGGAACUUACGAGCAUAUUCUGAUACCGUCAUGUUUUCCUGGACCAGUUGGACAAACUCCAUCUCCUUUAGAUGUCGGAUGUGCUCGGGGAGGUACUUCGCAUGAAAGGCUGUUAAGAACUGCUCCCAAGUGACUGGUGCAGGCAGGGUGGUCUGCUUGAGCUCCCACCAAUGACCUGCUUCCCCCACCAGCAUAUAGGAAGUAAGGGUAACCCUCUGCUCGGGAACCACUCCUAAGGUCUUGAAAGCCUUCUCUGUCUCCGCUAACUAUUAUUGGGCAUCUUCGAAAGAGGACUCCCCUGCAAAAGUGGAAGGGUUCAAUCUCUUGUACCUCUCUACGUAGCCUAGGUCAAUCAGGGAAGGAGCUGGGUCCCGUGGAAGAGGGACUAGGCCGGGCUGAGGAUAGACUUGGGGGCCCUGUAGUGGCACCUGCUGAUAUAAUGGGGGCAUUGGAUUGUUCUAUGGCGGUGCCGGGGAGUACUGUGGCUAAGGCACCAGAUUAUACUGCGGCGGUAGUGCCUGAUGGCAUUGUGGAGGAGCAGGCUCGUGCCGGGGUGGCUCGGGAUCCGCUCGCUGUAGCGGUGGCU